rnacentral:lncRNA from 1 species
AUGCAAUUGUUGAAAUUAGGAUUUGGGAAGAAGCCCCAUAGCACAUACCGUUAUGUAGUGGAGAGCUGUGGAAACCCUGAGGAACUUGCUGCUUUUUUGUCUCCCAAAUGCUGCUUAGAUGGUGUUGAAAUGCGCACAGCUCCUCCAUAAACUUGGCGAUGGCACCAGAAGUACAGAGAGAAUGAAGCACUGUACUGACUGAGCAGUCUUCCCAUCGCAGACCCCACUGAGGUUUGUUAGGAAACGUCUGCAGAUCUUUUGGCCGUUCCACCUCCUCUGAUUGGUGCAUGCGCAAAACGUCAGGUCAGAGAGUGCAUGUUUAUGUGCAGUGGAUGAAUGAUUGACCCCAACUGACAGGCAAGCUGCUGAUCCCAAAGAGGUUUUUGACACGCAUACGGCCCCGUUUCAGGUUUGCUUUCUAAGUCGUAUUAUUUUUAUUCUCAACUUGCAGCGAAGCCCUUUUACCCCUUGUCUUGCUGAUGGCCAAAGCUGGGCUGUCAGGGAGCUGCAGGCAGCGUGUGCUGGGAUGAGAGCAGCGUGUGGCCCCUGCAGCCCUGCCUCUGUGCACACCAGCACCGACGGAUGGAAGGAGAAGCUCCUGCCUUCAGUAAGCUACUCAGAGGGCUGUGCCGUGUCCUGCCGCACCCCUCCCUGUGCCCCCGCCCCUUACUUUCACAGUCACGUUCUGCUGAAGGAAGUAAAGCUUCCUUGUAAUGUGGGGAGAAUAAGUAAUGUGAAACCUACCCUGAGCCCUGUUCUCUGCACACGCCUGUCCCUCCCCUCAGCUUCGUGUGGGCAGCCUGCAGCGUCCCCAGCGAGUGUCAGCUCACCGUGCAGCCAGUGCCAGCUGCUGCUACCGCAUGCACCGCACUCCGAUGUGUACGUAGUUCUGGUGUGAGAGGGCAGUCCUGGUACCUCAGAGCUCCUGGCUUUCUUAAUCACUAUUGUUUUGUUCCGAUGUGCUGUACAAUGGUAUGUUCAGGUUAAUGAGCUUCCCGGCUCCCUUCGGAACUGGGGAAGCAUCUUUGCAAAAUCAAAGUGCUCCAAACCUCAUGUACUUGUAGAUUAAAGAGAUGCAAACCCUGCUUUGUGCUAGCACAGUAGUCAGUGUAUGUUCAUGGCUAUUCUUGAAUUACAUACUUGAAAGUUCACCAAUACUGAGAUGGAUCUGCGAAUGCUACCCUGCAGCUCGUCAGCAAGUUCUGCUCCUUCAGCCAAGGUGUGAAGACAGCAGUGUGGCUGUCAGCAAAGUCCCAGGCGCGGCUCUGAAGCAGCCGCUGUUCAGCUCUGCUUUCCCCACUGCUCGGCUCCCAGCUCAGAGUUGCAGCGCGCUGCUCCACGUUGCCCAUGCAGAUCUCAGCCGUGGUGCUGCUGUUCCCUUUCUCUUUCCAGGCAUCGUCUUUGCAUCCUCUGCUGCCGUCUGCACUGCUGCUGCUCACCGCCCAUCAGCAGAGGUAACACUGAACGCUAGGAUGCUUCCUUUUGUCUUUAACCAGCACCCCUUAAUCUCUACUGUCGCGCAGCUGGCAGUGCUGCAGUUGGAAGCUGCCCGCCUCCAUGUGCA